GCAGACUGACAAUUGAUUUCUAGAAGGAAUAAAUGAAUGAGAUAAAAAAAUUUAAAGAAUGACUGAGUUAGUCCAGUUUAAUUAAGGAGAGGUUGAAGAAACAAAUCUCAAUCAAUGAACACAUACACUGCUAAUGAUUGAACUUGUGAUACUUUUUAAAAAUAUGAAUUUCUUAGUCUUCCAUCCCUACCCCCAUAGCCCCCACCUUGGGUUGGAACCUAGUUGAAGCUUAGGUAAAACACUUAGCUUAAAUCUUAAAAAUGUACUUUAGAAUU
rnacentral:lncRNA from 1 species